rnacentral:rRNA from 1 species
UACGGGGGGAGCAAGCGUUGUUCGGAUUCAUUGGGCGUAAAGGGUGCGUAGGCGGCGCGGUAAGUCGGGUGUGAAAUUUCGAGGCUUAACUUCGAAACUGCAUUCGAUACUGCCGUGCUAGAGGACUGGAGAGGAGACUGGAAUUUACGGUGUAGCGGUGAAAUGCGUAGAUAUCGUAAGGAAGACCAGUGGCGAAGGCGGGUCUCUGGACAGUUCCUGACGCUGAGGCACGAAGGCCAGGGGAGCAAACGGG